rnacentral:tRNA from 2 species
GCCGGGUUAGCUCAGCGGUAGAGCAGCGGUUUUGUAAACCGAAGGUCGGGGGUUCAAUCCCCUCACCCGGCA